GUGUGAUGAGAUUAAACUGGAAUACAGCUGGAAUUACCGGCAGAUUGUUCAGUGGUGAGAACCGGUUUUCUGACC